GGAAAAAGGCCACAAAAACGGGUGGGCUAUAGCCUUGGGGGGUGGGGCUGGCCAACUUCGUCCGCCGGACUCGGAAUGUCGCGAGACUUUGCGAGGGGCCUCCGUGCGCCAAAAAUAGGCCACGGACAAAGCCAUGGCCGAAAAUAACUGCCCGAAGGCCGGGGCGCCAUGUUCGUCCAGCGGAAACAGGCCACAAAAACGGGUGGGCUAUAGCCUUGGGGGGUGGGGACGGCCCACUUCGUCCGCCGGACUCGGAAUCCCGCGAGACUUUGCGAGGGGCCUCCGUGUGCCAAAAAAAGGCCGCGGGCAAAGCCGCGCCCAAAAAUAACCGCCCGAAGGCCGGGGAGCCAAGUUCGUCCAGCGGACAAAGGACACAAAAACGGGUGGGCUAUAGCCUUGGGGGGUGGGGCUGGGCAACUUCGUCCGCCGGACUCGGAAUCCCGCGAGACUUUACGAGGGGCCUCCGUGUGCCAAAACUAGGCCGCGGGCAAAGCCAUGCCCAAAAAUAACCGCCCGCUGGCCGGGGCGCCAAGUUCGUCCAGCGGAAAAAGGCCACAAAAACGGGUGGGCUAUAGCCUUGGGGGGUGGGGCCGGCCCACUUCGUCCGCCGGACUCGGAAUGGCGCAAGACUUUGCGAACGGGCUCCGUGUGCUAAAAAUAGGCCGCGGGCACAGCCGCACCAAAAAAUAACCGCCCGAAGGACGGGGCGCCAAAUUCGUCCAGCGGAAAAAGGCCACAAAAACGGGUGGGCUAUAGCCUUGGGGGGUGGGGCUGGCCGACUUCGUCCGCCGGACUCGGAAUGGCGCGAGACUUUACAAGGGGCCUCCGUGUGCCAAAAAUAGGCAUGGGCACAGCUGAGCCAAAAAAUAAGUGACCGAAGGCCGGGGCGCCAAGUUCGUCCAGCGGAAAAAGCCCAAAAAAACGGGUGGGCUAUAGCCUCGGGGAGUGGGGCCGGCCAAGUUCUUCCGCCGGACUCGGAAUGGCACGAGACUUUGCGAGGGGCCUCCGUGGGCCAAAAAUAGGACGCGGGCACUGCCGCGCCCAAAAAUAAGAGGCCGAAUGCCGGGCGCCAAAACCCCCCAGCGGAAAAAGGCCAAAAAAACGGGUGGUCUAUAGCCUUGGGGGGUGGGGCUGGCCAAGUUCGUCCUCCGGACUCGGAAUGGCGCGAGACUUUGCGAGGGGCCUCCGUGUGCCAAAAAUAGGCCGCGGACACAGUCACGCCCAAAUAUAAGCGACCGAAGGCCGGGGCGCCAAGUUCGUCCUGCGGAAAAAGGCCACAAAAACG
rnacentral:lncRNA from 1 species